AUUUUAAAAAAGAAAAAAGAAACACCAACACUUAGACAACCCACCCCUAGCAAUUCUGAUGGCAUAGCUCAGAGGUGAGACCUGAGUGCCAGGACUUUGUAAAGCUCCCUUCCCACCCCAGGUAACUAAUGGGCAGCAGACCUGGAGAGCCAAGAGGACCUAGACGACUUCUACAGACUCUACACACACAGCUCUCAGAGUCGCAGGGCUGUCAAAUAUUCUGGAAGACAAGAUCAUUGGGACUGAACUGUUGGCUGCCGCCUCUUCCACACUGAAAUGUGACCCUUUCCUUGGAGAAAAGAAGAGCGAGUGCCCCAGUCUGUCCAUCCCACAGGGUGACAAAGGCUGGGAGCUGCCCAGAGCAAAGCAUUGUGAGUCAUUAUGGUGGCAGCUCAGAAGAAAAGCAGGCGGGAAAUACAGACUGGUGGCUGCGUCCCUGCCUCCUCGCAGUCACACCGGGGACAGCCUGUGCCUACAUCUCCCUUCCUGCUUUGUCCCUCUCUCAUCUCCCCAGCCAACUGUGACUGGCUAAAUGAGGGUUUCUGAACAAAGUGCAGAACACAGGGAAAGGCCUCAGUGAAGCCGGAUAAAAGAGCAGGCAGAGGGGGGGAAGGAACACACCGAGAGAGGAAUCCUCCUGGGACAAGGAUGCAGCAAUACAGGAAUAGCCUUUCCACUAAGGCCAUACACGAGGACUUCAGAAAGUUAAUGGAGAAGAGCUAGCACGUGGCAUGGUGGUUAAGGUGCUGGG